GUGAGGAAUAUUGGACAAUGGGCGCAAGCCUGAUCCAGCCAUGCCGCGUGCAGGAAGACGCAUCUAUGGUGUGUAAACUGCUUUUGUACGGGAAGAAACACUCCCUCGUGAGGGAGCUUGACGGUACCGUAAGAAUACGGAUCGGCUAACUCCGUGCCAGCAGCCGCGGUAAUACGGAGGAUCCAAGCGUUAUCCGGAAUCAUUGGGUUUAAUGGGUCCGUAGGCGGUUUAAUAAGUCAGUGGUGAAAGCCCAUCGCUCAACGAUGGAACGGCCAUUGAUACUGUUAGACUUGAAUUACAAGGAAGUAACUAGAAUAUGUAGUGUAGCGGUGAAAUGCUUAGAUAUUACAUGGAAUACCAAUUGCGAAGGCAGGUUACUACUUGUGGAUUGACGCUGAUGGACGAAAGCGUGGGGAGCGAACAGGAUUAGAAACCCCGGUAGUCC
rnacentral:rRNA from 1 species